CCGUGACUUUGACUUUGACUUUGAGUUUGACUUCCGGCCUGUUGAGAUGAAUCGCUUACUCAGGGAGGGAGGAGAUGUUUCUCAAUAUGGAUCAAAUUGUUAAAAUGAAUCAAGGCGUUGGAGCACAGGCUAGCUCCUUGCAGAAUCUUGACAAAAGAGAAUGUGGACUAAGAUCUGGCAGUUGCAGUGCCCAGACAAGGUGAGAGCAAACUGCUACAGAGAUAAAAAGGAAUCUCCAAAUGCAAUGUUGAACGAGCACCAUGGAUGAAGGAGGGGGAGGAAAACAGACAGCUUCUUUCUACCAAACAUACAAUGUUUGCUUCAUGAACAAUAGUUACAUCUGAAAUAAAUACAGAAUUCUUUUAGUUUAUUCAGUUUUUUAUGCUGGAUGUGAGUAAUUUAGCAGGUUUAUAUUAUAAUGUAUUGUUUUGAAAUGUUCAUUAAAUAUCUAUUCAGUCAAAACUCACUUAUUAUUUUACGUUUGCUAAAAUAAUGUAUGUUUUGUACUGUUACUUUUUA